rnacentral:tRNA from 1 species
GGGUGUAUAGUUUGGGGGAAGGGCAUCUGACUACAGAUCAGGAGGUCCCUGGUUCAAAUCCUGGUGCUCACU